GACGAACGCUGGCGGCGUGCUUAACACAUGCAAGUCGAACGGAAAGGCCCUGCAUUUGUGGGGUGCUCGAGUGGCGAACGGGUGAGUAACACGUGAGUAACCUGCCCUUGACUUUGGGAUAACUUCAGGAAACUGGGGCUAAUACCGGAUAGGAGCUCCUGCUGCAUGGUGGGGGUUGGAAAGUUUCGGCGGUUGGGGAUGGACUCGCGGCUUAUCAGCUUGUUGGUGGGGUAGUGGCUUACCAAGGCUGUGACGGGUAGCCGGCCUGAGAGGGUGACCGGCCACAUUGGGACUGGGAUACGGCCGAGACGCCUACGGGAGGCAGGAGUGGGGAAUAUUGCACAAUGGGCGGAAGCCUGAUGCAGCAACGCCGCGUGCGGGAUGACGGCCUUCGGGUUGUAAACCGCUUUCGCCUGUGAGGAAGCGUGAGUGACGGUAAUGGGUAAAGAAGCACCGGCUAACUACGU
rnacentral:rRNA from 1 species